rnacentral:lncRNA from 1 species
GGGUAGAGACUUUGGUUCAGCUAGCAAGGGUGAAAGCUGGGUUCGACGGGGGUUAAGGUGGUUGGUGGUUGAUGCAGUUGGGGCUGGAUGAAGGUGCUCGUGAGGCAUGGGUUUAGUUUCUAUGGGGAUGUUUGAAAGGGAUUUUGCCGGGGCAAGGGUGCUGGUUCUGAAGGUGCUUCGAGGGUGGCCUUGGUUUGGUGAAAUGGGUGCUCAAACCCCCCUGGACGAGUGUGAGGGCUCGGGACUAGUGAAAUGGGUGCUCUCUUCUUGCAGAGAAACGGAUCUCCCUCUCAUGUAUGCUGUGAAUUCCUUCCUUUUUUCCAGACCGCUUGGUUGUUGUUGAUAAUUUGCUUCUUCUAAUCCUGCAACAUUGAUGGCAGUGAAGUGGAGCACUGGGACUGGUGGAGUGUAGGGUAAUGGCUGGUGUAUUGUGCAGAGCCUGCCUGAAUUAUUAGCUAUUAAUUUGUUGAUUUCUAAUUUUUCGCUCUUUUUUUUUACUUAAUUGUUGUAGGCAUCUUAUUUGGUUUGGGUCUGAAUUAAUUAGAUCUGUCUUACUUUAGUUUAAU